CCUACGGGAGGCAGCAGUGGGGAAUAUUGGACAAUGGGGGCAACCCUGAUCCAGCCAUGCCGCGUGUGUGAAGAAGGCCUUCGGGUUGUAAAGCACUUUAAGCGAGGAGGAAGGGGUGAUGGUUAAUACCUAUCAUCAUUGACGUUACUCGCAGAAUAAGCACCGGCUAACUCUGUGCCAGCAGCCGCGGUAAUACAGAGGGUGCAAGCGUUAAUCGGAAUUACUGGGCGUAAAGCGCGCGUAGGCGGUAUGUUAAGUCGGAUGUGAAAUCCCUGGGCUCAACCUAGGCAUUGCAUCCGAUACUGGCACACUAGAGUGUGGGAGAGGAAGGUAGAAUUCCAGGUGUAGCGGUGAAAUGCGUAGAGAUCUGGAGGAAUACCGAUGGCGAAGGCAGCCUUCUGGCCUAACACUGACGCUGAGGUGCGAAAGCAUGGGGAGCAAACAGGAUUAGAUACCCCAGUAGUC
rnacentral:rRNA from 1 species